rnacentral:rRNA from 1 species
AUCCCUUCGGGGUGAUUUGUUGGACGCUAGCGGCGGAUGGGUGAGUAACACGUGGGCAAUCUGCCCUAAAGACUGGGAUACCACUUGGAAACAGGUGCUAAUACCGGAUAACAACAUGAAUCGCAUGAUUCAAGUUUGAAAGGCGGCGCAAGCUGUCACUUUAGGAUGAGCCCGCGGCGCAUUAGCUAGUUGGUGGGGUAAAGGCCUACCAAGGCAAUGAUGCGUAGCCGAGUUGAGAGACUGAUCGGCCACAUUGGGACUGAGACACGGCCCAAACUCCUACGGGAGGCAGCAGUAGGGAAUCUUCCACAAUGGACGCAAGUCUGAUGGAGCAACGCCGCGUGAGUGAAGAAGGUUUUCGGAUCGUAAAGCUCUGUUGUUGGUGAAGAAGGAUAGAGGCAGUAACUGGUCUUUAUUUGACGGUAAUCAACCAGAAAGUCACGGCUAACUACGUGCCAGCAGCCGCGGUAAUACGUAGGUGGCAAGCGUUGUCCGGAUUUAUUGGGCGUAAAGCGAGCGCAGGCGGAAUGAUAAGUCUGAUGUGAAAGCCCACGGCUCAACCGUGGAACUGCAUCGGAAACUGUCAUUCUUGAGUGCAGAAGAGGAGAGUGGAAUUCCAUGUGUAGCGGUGGAAUGCGUAGAUAUAUGGAAGAACACCAGUGGCGAAGGCGGCUCUCUGGUCUGCAACUGACGCUGAGGCUCGAAAGCAUGGGUAGCGAACAGGAUUAGAUACCCUG